rnacentral:rRNA from 1 species
AACGAACGCUGGCGGCAUGCCUAACACAUGCAAGUCGAACGAGACCUUCGGGUCUAGUGGCGCACGGGUGCGUAACGCGUGGGAACCUGCCCUUAGGUUCGGAAUAACUCCCCGAAAGGGGUGCUAAUACCGGAUAAUGUCUUCGGACCAAAGAUUUAUCGACUUUGGAUGGGCCCGCGUUGGAUUAGCUAGUUGGUAGGGUAAAAGCCUACCAAGGCGACGAUCCAUAGCUGGUCUGAGAGGAUGAUCAGCCACACUGGGACUGAGACACGGCCCAGACUCCUACGGGAAGCAGCAGUGGGGAAUAUUGGACCAUGGGCGGAAGCCUGAUCCAGCAAUGCCGCGUGAGUGAUGAAGGCCUUAGGGUUGUAAAGCUCUUUUACCCGGGAUGAUAAUGACAGUACCGGGAGAAUAAGCUCCGGCUAACUCCGUG